rnacentral:rRNA from 1 species
UACGUAGGGUGCAAGCGUUGUCCGGAAUUAUUGGGCGUAAAGAGCUCGUAGGCGGCUCGUCGCGUCGGCUGUGAAAACUCGGGGCUCAACCCCGAGCCUGCAGUCGAUACGGGCAGACUAGAGUGCUGUAGGGGAGACUGGAAUUCCUGGUGUAGCGGUGAAAUGCGCAGAUAUCAGGAGGAACACCGGUGGCGAAGGCGGGUCUCUGGGCGUUAACUGACGCUGAGGAGCGAAAGCAUGGGGAGCGAACAGG